rnacentral:rRNA from 1 species
CAAUAGCGUAUAUUAAAGUUGUUGCGGUUAAAAAGCUCGUAGUUGGAUUUCUGCUGAGAACGGCCGGUCCGCCCUUUGGGUGUGUAUCUGGCUCUUUCUUGGCAUCUUCUUGGUGAACGUUGCUGCACUUGACUGUGUGGAGCGCUACCCAGGACUUUUACUUUGAGGAAAUUAGAGUGUUUCAAGCAGGCAUACGCCUUGAAUACAUUAGCAUGGAAUAAUAAGAUAGGACCUCGGUUCUAUUUUGUUGGUUUCUAGAGCUGAGGUAAUGAUUAAUAGGGAUAGUUGGGGGCAUUCGUAUUUAACUGUCAGAGGUGAAAUUCUUGGAUUUGUUAAAGACGGACUACUGCGAAANCANNNGCCAAGGAUGUUUUCAUNGA